rnacentral:rRNA from 1 species
UACGGGGGGGGCAAGCGUUGUUCGGAAUUACUGGGCGUAAAGGGCGCGUAGGCGGUCAGACCAAGUCGAAUGUUAAAUUCCAGGGCUUAACUUUGGACGGUCGUUCGAUACUGGUCGGCUAGAGUGUGGAAGAGGAUGCUGGAAUUCCCGGUGUAGCGGUGAAAUGCGUAGAUAUCUGGAGGAACACCGGUGGCGAAGGCGGCAUCCUGGACCAACACUGACGCUGAGGAGCGAAAGCCAGGGGAGCAAACGGG